UCUCUGUAUUUCGCCUUCAUUCAUUCCCAUAUCAUGUAUGGUAUCGCUGCUUGCGGAAACACGUAUGACUGUCAUCUAUCACCCAUUCAGAACAUACAAAAUCAGGCGAUUCGCAUUAUCACUAAUAGCUCACGAUACUCCAGUGCAGGCCAUCUACUCCAAAACAACAAAAUCCUACCUGUUCUUCGUCCGCCUUGGUGCAGUUGACCUGCCAAGAUUGUAUGCCUUGCAAACUCUUAAAUGCGCUCCAAGAAUUAGGGAAAAGCUAAGAAAAUCAAACGAUGGGACACAGCACGGCAUACCUUGGCUUCUUUCUUCACAGUGUAACCUAAUGAAGCAAUACCAACUACCCCACACUGCACUCUAAAAUGUGUUCAGACCUACCUGCUUGGCAAAUUCACAAAUAGCAAUGGAACAGAGUGCUUGCGGAGAUAGCAAGGCCAUAACUACAAGGCCUGCACAUACACACCUGAGCAUGCAGAGAUAGUGUCCUGUAUAGACAGUCACUAGCUUGAUGAAUGUGCAAUAAAUGCAAUUAUUUGCGUAUUAAA